rnacentral:misc_RNA from 1 species
UUUAUGUUUAAUUAAAUACUUUUAUCUAUUAAUUUUUUAUAAAAAGAUCCGUCGAUCUGGGAGAGGGUUGAAACAUAUAAAGCAGGAUUGUAAAUAGUGCAAAAAUAAAAAAUUGUUAAUUUUACUGUACAACGGGGCCUAAAAUUAAUAUCGGAGUAUAAUAAUUUAUCAAUGAAAGAGGAAGAAAAUAAACAAUAUGUUCUACGAAUAUGCAAGAUGCUGAGGUAUAGAUAAUUCAGAGACACUCGAGCUCACAGUAUUC